ensembl:lncRNA
AGCCGUUCUUGAUCAAGUGCCUCUUGAACUACUGUGAUGGACUUUAAAAGACACGAUCCUUAUAAACAGAGAUUUCUCAAAAGAAAUCAUCUGAAUUGCUACCUCUGAGUACUGCUACACAACACUCUGGAGAGUCAGCAAAAUACAAGUUGAACUUGAAAAACAACUGAACAAGUAGAGAGGGAAUGUUCUGACAUUGGAACAAUACAGAGAAAAAUAUGCACACGCAUUACGAACAAGAUCUGCCAUUCUAUACUGACAUAAAAGAAGCACUUCCCAGAAGCCUGAAACCUAGAAAAUGCAUUAAGGUUUAUCCUCCACAUCAACUGGAAAAUGGUCAGUUAAAACCUAUUGUAAAUCUUCAACAUGCUGCUGGGUUUUUGAAUGUCGUGUUCUGAACUGGAGAGAAACUGCUGCUGCAUUUAAGAGAAAAGCUUAAGAAAUGGAAAAAUGGA